AUUUAUCUGUUAUCGAACAACAAUUAAGUGCAUAGAAGUGUGUGAUCACAUUAUUAUACAAGUUUAUAUGCAAGAAGCUGGAAAAUUGCUGCAAGGAUGCAUUUCGACGAGUGAGCAUACCGGUCAGAUUGAUAUCAGCCCCUUGAUGGAUAAGGAACUGCACAACAUCUUCAUACCCUCUGGAAGCUGCAAGAUGCUGCGGCAAAGAUGCUGGUUACAUCAGGCAUGGAAUAUUCAUCAUGGAGGUUUCAAUUUUUUUGAAUUAGAUAAGAACCAUAUAACCAAAUCUUAGUAAUUUGUACCAAAGGAGACCGCCCAUCGUAAUCACUGUUCUUUGGAUUGGCUCCAGCUCGGAUUAAGCCAGUCAACUGAUGAAGGUCGCCAUAAAAAGCGGCGUUAUUAACUCUUAAGUCGGAGAUAGCACAUCAAGAAAAAAGAUGCAGUAUCUAUGAAUACUGGAAUUAGAUGAAAUAAUUAAUGGCAUGUUGUUUGUUUCUACUGUUUACCUCGGGUCUACGCAACAGCUUAAAUAUUCCUCGAGAAAAUUACUAUAACUACACCCAAGAUUGGCGGCUGCCUGCCUGGUACUUUAGGCCAUUCAAGCCAGCAAUCUGAACUGUCAAGUACCCAAAUCACAUUUGGAGUGCAGCUGCAGAGCGACAUCAUAAAAAACCCUCUGAACUGCUGUAGUCAUACACCUGGUUGGCAUUGUGGAGGCAAGUUACUGGUGUUAGCUUAUUAGUUUAAGUUUAGUUGACAUAUCGUCGUAAGCAGAUGGGUUCUACCAUUAUAUAUUUUGUUGCUGCGUAACAGCGCAGCAACAUGAGCAUGCAGGUUGUUAGACCACAUGUUCAUCUGUUGAUGUAACAUGUCAAAAAGUAUCCCAGGUUGGAUGGCAUAUUAAAAUAUGUUGAUGCUUGGUAAUGAGAAAAAGAAA